rnacentral:rRNA from 1 species
ACGCCGCGUGAACGAUGAAGGCUUUCGGGUCGUAAAGUUCUGUUGUAAGGGAAGAACAAGUGCCGCAGGCAAUGGCGGCACCUUGACGGUACCUUGCGAGAAAGCCACGGCUAACUACGUGCCAGCAGCCGCGGUAAUACGUAGGUGGCAAGCGUUGUCCGGAAUUAUUGGGCGUAAAGCGCGCGCAGGCGGCCUCUUAAGUCUGAUGUGAAAGCCCCCGGCUCAACCGGGGAGGGCCAUUGGAAACUGGGAGGCUUGAGUAUAGGAGAGAAGAGUGGAAUUCCACGUGUAGCGGUGAAAUGCGUAGAGAUGUGGAGGAACACCAGUGGCGAAGGCGACUCUUUGGCCUAUAACUGACGCUGAGGCGCGAAAGCGUGGGGAGCAAACAGGAUUAGAUACCCUGGUAGUCCACGCCGUAAACGAUGAGUGCUAGGUGUUGGAGGGUUUCCGCCCUUCAGUGCUGAAGCUAACGCAUUAAGC